UACAGAGGUCUCAAGCGUUGUUCGGAUUCAUUGGGCGUAAAGGGUGUGUAGGUGGCGCCGUAAGUCGGGUGUGAAAUUUCGGAGCUUAACUCCGAAACUGCAUUCGAUACUGCGGUGCUUGAGGACUGGAGAGGAGACUGGAAUUCAUGGUGUAGCAGUGAAAUGCGUAGAGAUCAUGAGGAAGACCAGUGGCGAAGGCGGGUCUCUGGACAGUUCCUGACACUGAGGCACGAAGGCCAGGGGAGCGAACGGG
rnacentral:rRNA from 1 species